CGGACCUCGCUCUACCUUGGGGUCUCCAGUGCUCCCGGUGCCCUAGGUCCGAGGCGCGCGCUCGCUGUGUGACGCUGGGCGAGUGUGCACACCCUCUGAGCCUCAUCGGCCUCUAGCAAAAUGGUGGAGCUGGUACCCGCCGAAAGACAAACUUGCUGCGGCACCACACCGAGCCCUCCUCACACCGCUGGAGUCCUCUCUCCGACACUGGAUAACUUUGGUAAACUAGGGAUAAUAAGAGUACCACCUCAUAGGCUUGUUAUGAAGAUUAAGUGAGUUAAUAUUUGCAAAGUGUUAUGCGGUAAGUGGUUUUUAAGUAGUUGUUAGACUACGGGAGGUCUCGCUCAGCGAUUGUCUUCCCUACCCCUCUCCACCCCCACAUUCCUGUUUGCAAGCCAAGCCUUGCUUUGGCAUAGGCUGGGCUCUGCCUGGAAAUCCAUACCUCUUCUCUGGGCUUUUAUAUCACCUCUGACAGUGCACUGUGAAUCUAUGGUGACAAGUAAGUGUGAAAAAUGUGGAUGGGAAGAUCACAGGAGAGUGGGUUUGAACUAGCUCCACUGUAUACUGUCCCUAGCAUGAUCCUAGGGAAGAUGCUGACAUAAGAGCCUCACGUUUCUGAGGAGUAAAGCAGACUUAUACCACCAUUAACCUCAUGUGCUCUUCUGAGAGUUAAAGUUUCCAGAGAAGCUCAUGACGAGCUUUGCACAUGCUGAGUCCUCCUUUACUGCUAGUGGUAUUAUUUCACAUUAUUUCAUCUGAUUUCACCUUAUCUCCCCUUAUAGAUGUAAACCUUUCUUAAGAUACAGUUGAAGGGAAAUACCUCCAGUCUAAAGUUCUGGCCAAAAUUCUGAGGUUGGGCUGAGGUUCCUUUCCCUGUCUACUGGGCAGGAGAGGGGUUACUUUCUGUUGGAAAGACGGAGGCUGAGCUGAGCGCAUGACCUCUGGAGUCCUUUGAGCUGUAUGUCCAGGCUCAGUGCUGGCUGAGGGGACACCCUGGCUGGGCAUGGAGCCCUGGAGGGGAAGGCAGGCACCUUCUGGGUCUACCACUGCCCCUGGCUCAUGUCUCUAUAGUUUCCCAGCUGCUCAGCCUGGAAAGCUUGGGGCCACCUCUCUCACCCAGGUAUCAAAGGCAGGUACCACAGGAUUUCACGCCUUCCACACCACCCCAUCCUCCCUCCCUCCCUCCCUGCUGUGGCCAGGGCCCCCAGCGCUCCCUACUCCUGCCUCACCUAGUCCUGACCCUCAUAUGCCUGACACUGCUGUAGGGGGAGUAAGGCCCAGCCUGGCCACCAGGGCCCAUGGGGUGCCAGCAUUUAAGCUCAGCGCCACCCCUCACACCAGGAUGCUCAUCUGUACCUUUGCUAAGGUUGUUUCCUCUGCCUGACUCCCUCCACCUCCGCCUCAGCGUGCCAAAAUGUUUCUGAUGAAACAAGUUCUCCUCCACCUCUAGAAUGGGGCCUCCUCUUGGAAGUGUCCCUGAGUCCCCCUCAAAAGGGAAUCUUUUUUUCCUUUACCCUUUGGUGUCUCUUAGUGUGCCUCUGGGCCUGUUGGUCUUUGCCCAGAUGGAGCACCUUGAAGAUACAGUAGCUGAGACCUGUGGGUGAAGGAGGGAAGGCAGGCAGGGGUGCGUGAGCAUAUAAGCAGCUAGCCUGCCUGUCUUGCCAACACUUCCAGUCAUUCUAUAAGUACCUUUUGGGGUUUGCCACAUGCCUACUCAAGUCUCUUCAUAGGUUCAGGUUCCUGUUUCCACACACAUCCCGCUGACACACCUCCCCCCAGCUGUGGGUAUACCGCACUCAGCCCCUGGGUCACACUCACCACCAGGCGCCCUUUCCUUCUCCAGGUCAGCCCUGUGCUGGCAACUUCCCCAGGCACGGAGGCUGCAAGCCUGCUGCUGUCCUCAUGGAGCCUCCAAACCAGAAAGGAUUCAAGGGGAGAGAUGGACAGCCACAAUACCAAGUUGAGUGUAUGGGAGCAGAAUUUGUACCACAGAGGAAGGAGAGGGAGGAGAGAGAGCUUUAGGGAAGGGAAAGAGCAUGCCAAGCAGGGUUUAGAAGGCUGAAUAUAAGUUGACCAGGUGGCUCAGAGGGAAGGCCAUUCUUGGCAGAGGAAAGAACAUAUGCAAACACAACAGUCAGGCAGAGAGUAAUUGCUGAAGAGAAGAAAUCUAGACCACACUCAGAGACUGAUGGUGGAGCCCUGGGUCCCAGCUCUGCUAUUUACUUGCCAGGUAUCACUGAGCCUUCUUUCUGGGCUCUAGAGCCACAUCUAAAAUGGAUGUGACAAUCCCCUUACUGGGGUCAGCCUGAGGAAAAAUGGGUAUGUAUAAAAGUUUAUCCAAACAAACAGUACUAGUUCAUGAUUUCAGAAAUUCAGUCAAAUCCCUUUCCUGUGGUCUGGAUAGCACUUGAAGACAAAGCAGAAAAACAACUUUACCUUCACCCCAUCCCACCAUACCUGUCCAAACAGACCCCCAUUACCUGCUUGAAAUUCCAUUUCUGGGUGUUCUCUCUGUAAAAGUUUUAUGACCCCCUAGAGGCUACUGUUUAGAAGUAAGUUCAUCAGAAGCUAUUGACACUGGAGCAGAGAUGAGAUUCUCAGGUGGGCUAGUUUAUUUUUUGGGUGACUUGAGUUCUGAGAAACAGGGUUUAACUCCAACCAGGGAGGGAAUACCAGAGAAAGCCUAAAGAAGUGGCCUCUGAGCUUGGAAAGGUGCAAUGGAGGGGAGAGAGCAUGAGCAAAUGCCAGGAGGUGGGUCAUGAAGGUACAGCCUUAGCCACAGAGAGCCUGCCUAAGUAGCCCCUGUGGCUGAGUGUAGAGGUGCUGGGAGAGAAUGAAGAUGAAGAUAGGGGAAUUUGAGAGAGAGAAGCUGAAGACAUGGGUCACAAAGGCCCUCAAAUGCCAGAUGUAAGAGUUAGGGCUUUAAUACAGAGCAGCAGGGAGCCAUGGAGGUUUUGGAGCAGAGGAAGGGCCUGAGGGAAUCUCAGCCUCCUCUCAAGCCUAUUCUGCCUUGGGGCUUUAAAGGUAGGUGUGAGGAGGCGGUAGAGACCCAGCGCUCAGCUAAAGAGACCCAGUGCCCCGGCUCCGCCCAAAGCUGCGCUCACACUGGGAGCUUUGUUCCCCGGAGUCUGCCUUUAGCCCUAGAAGGAACUCGGACUUUUUCUGGGUUUGAUUCAAACAGUUCAGCCCCAACCAGCCAGAGGAAGAAAGCUCUCUGGGACUGGCGGGGCGGUGCUAGGUGGCUGGCCGACGCUGGCCCCUGAUGCGUGCCUCAGAGCACGCACGAGGGCUCCCAGGGAGCAGUGCAGGGCGUGUCCUCGCUGCCCCCAGUGAGAAGUAAGAAGGCCCAGGAAAAGGUUUUUCUUUUGCCUUUAAAGGCGGCCUGGAAAAAAGGCUUUGCUGUCAGCUGCCAGUGAUGCAAGGGUGGCUGGCGGGGACUGGGACGGGGGAGCCCCUAAUCCACAGGAAGAUUUGCAACACAAAUCCUCCCAGGCUGCAGGUAAACAUGGCCUUGGACUCCAGGACGGCCUGAUGGGCCAAGCAGGACAGUUUUGGGUGUUUAAUAUUUUCAUUCUGAUUUGCACACCUGUUCAGACCACCUGCUCUCAGAGAACUUUUUGGCUUCCCAUCUUUAUCCUUUCGUGGGCCACAGCCUGGCCCUCUGCAAACGCUUUCAUCCCAGCCACUACCUGCCCGCAGAUGCUGGGAGACAGUGAAGGAACAAAUCUUGCCUCCAUUCUCUCCUAACUGGCAGGCUCGUCCAUCCAGCUGUCUCCAGGACAGCCCUCUGAAUGUCCCAUGGGUACCUAGCACUCACCAUGUUUAAAUCUAAGCCCAUCAUCUUCUCCCAUCUCUCCUAGUCUCCACCCCAGAGAUGGUUUCUCUAUCCACGAAACUGCCCAAACCAGAGAUCUGGUCUCUUCCUUGACACCUCUUUGUCCUUCACCCUUUGUUCCAAGAUAUCAUUGGAUUCCAUCCCGUCCUCUCCAUCCCCACUGGCCCUGUGCUAGCAUAGUCUAAAACCCUUGCUUCUUCACCCUCCCACUCACCACCACACUGGUCUCUCCACAGCACCCAGCUACCACAUUCCCUUGUUUAAACAUCUUUCUGAAUCAGGCAACAACAUCUCACAGACAUAAUGUUGAGUGAAAGAAACCAUAUGAAGAAGAGUAUGAUUUCAUGUAUACAAAGAUCAAAAACAGGCAAAACUGUCCUAUGGGAAUAGAAGUCUGGACAAUAGUCUUGGAGGAAGAGUAGUCACUAUGAAGGUGGCUGGUAAUCAGGGCUAGGACUAGGGUGAGGCAAGUGAGGUAGGAUCAACAUUACCGACUUUUUUCCUUUUGCCCUGAGCUUUAAUAUGACUCAGCAUGGCACUGUUACUUCACUUAAAUUUUUGAUAUUUUGUCAUCAUGGAUUUUUUUGCACUAAUUUUGGUUUUUCAAAAAUGUUAUUUAUCUUGAUGACUAAGCUCUUUGGCACUCCCUUAACUUUUAUUUGGGAGGAACAGGCCUCAUUUGCCAUCCCCUAGUCCUGACCCUGCUGGAAAUGUUUUGUAAUCAGAGUGCUGGUUACACAGGUGUGUUCAGUUUGAAAAUUCCUCAAGUUGUACACUUCUGAUUUUUGCACUUUUCUUUAUGCACAUUAUUCUUCAAAUUAAAAAAAAAAAACUUCCAUGGUCCCAGGGGAAUGUCUUCUGUCUGCUUCCUUUAGUAUCCCCAGCACCAAAACAAUUCGUGGCACACACUGGGAAUCAGCACAUAUUUGUUGAAUGAAUGAAUACGGUAUUAUUCCAAUUAAUGUAAUCCCCUGUAUAACUCAGUGAGGGAAGUAUAUUUCUCUCCAUUUGGUAUGAGACAACUGAGGUUCAAGAAGGAUGUGAUCUGCCCAAGAUCAUGCAGGUAGUGAGUGUGACUUCUCGUAUCCCAGUUUAAAGAAGUAAACAAAAACUCUGACCAGUAGUGCUAGUUCAGGCACCUGAGCCGGCACCAGCACAUGCAGUGUACCCAGGUCUGGCUCUUAAUUGCUUAAAUUACAAUUAUUUUAGUCUUACCGUUUCCCAGAUAAUGACCUCCUUGGGGCGGGGGCUCAGGCAUUCCUGUCUGCUCUCUGUUCAGCUAAUUUCUGAGCACAGGGAAGAGGCUAUAAAUGUUUAAUAAAGGAAUGAAGCCAAGAAUGAAUGAGUGAGGAAGCUGACUUAUAUGUGGUACCUGGUAUCUGGUGGGUAGAGCACAAGUUUUAAUUAGAGAUAGAUCUGCUACAUGUAUGUCUUUGGGCAUAUUACUUAGCCUUUUGGAGUCGCAAUUUCUCCAACUGUAAAAUGGGAAUAAAAUCAGUACUUACCUCAAAGAUUUAUUGAGAAUGUGAAAUGAGAAAAUGACUGCUAGGUGACCAGCAUGUAAUAAACGCUUGGAAAAUGGUAACUACUAUUGUUUCCAAUGUUUUACAUUCUCAAAGCCUGAUUGACUUCAGGGUGACAGGUAUCUACUUCUUUCUGUCUCCAUGAAUUGUUUUCUGGGCGGAGUCUCUGAGUUGGAAGGAAGGGACGUGAUGCAGCCUCCAGGAGCUUUCUUCCUCAAGCUCGAGGAGAGGGUACCACCAUGCAGCAAUUGGAUCCAAACGAGAGCAGACAACUCACCUUUGGAGCAAGGUGGGCACAACCCAGCAGGUAUCUGGCUAUGCCUGCUUCCUGCAUCCAGUCCCCACCUGGAUACCACCUGGCAGUCACAUGCACAUUUAUCAUGGAGCAGCGGCUGACUCACCCCUUUGUACCAGAACUGACUCAUACAUUAAGAGAGGGAGAACAGGCUUGUUGUGCUCCACAAGACAGAACACAAUUCUGUGCCAGAAUUUACAUGGGACCAUUUCGACAACCCUUGAGGCUGAUUUGACUGUCUAGUAGUCCUGAUUCUGUUUCUAGAUAAGAGAAGCAGAUUGGCCCAGUUUGGCAGGACAGCCCGGCCGUCCUUACGACCUGGAUGGAGGCUGGGGCUAAGCUGGAGUGUUCCAAGAGGACAAGCCCCAGUGUGGAAAAAAAGCUUUUUUGUAUUAAUGCAAAUCAUUCUGGGUGUGACUUGCUUUGUCUCCUACUCUAUAAAUAAAGCCUUUUACAGGCUUUUACAGGAUUGAGUGAGGAAAGGACUUGUUGAGCUGUGCAACUUCUGGAAAGAACAUCUACAAUUACAGUGCAGUUUUUAAAGCCUGCUGUCACCUGGCUGGACGGCUCCUAUGAGGAUGAACUCUGACAUGGCUCCACCUGCUAGGUGCACACUUGGAGUGCCACACUUACUGCGAGGAAAUUUCUUAUAAAGAUAUAUACUUACAUACAACCCAGCAAUCCCACUCACAGCUAUUUGCCAAUGACAUGACAGCAUACGACCACCCAAAGACUUGCAAGUGUCAGUUCACAACAACUCUAUUUGUAAUAGCCAGACAUCGGAAACAGCCCACAUGUUUACCAACAAGUGAAUGGAUAAACAAAUUGUAACAUAUCCAUCCAAUGGGGUAUUCAACAAUGAAAAAAAUGAACUACUGAUACAUUCAACAACAUGAAUGAAUCUCAAAACAAGCUGAAUGAAAGAAGCCAGACCCCCCCGCAAAACUUACAUUAUGUAUUUGAUUCCAUUUAUAUGAAAUCCCAGGACAAGCAAACUAAUAUACAGUAACAGAAAGACCAAUGGUAACCUGGAAUGGAGGGUGGUGGAAAGAUGAGAGAGAGAAAUUGAGGAAUUGCCAAGGGGAAUAAGGAACUUUUGGGGAUGAUAGCGAUGUUCGUUAUCUUGGUGGUAGUGAUGGUUUCCAGUGUAUAUUAUAUGAGUCAAAGGUUAUCCAAUUGUGUAAUUUAAACAUGCGCUUUUUAUUAUACAUCAUUAUACCUCAAUAAAGCUGUUUAAAAAAUCUGAUGUAAGUUCCGCAUGGUCACAUCCAGCCUGUUUUUACACAGCACCCUCCCCUGGGUCCUCUUCCUAAC